rnacentral:rRNA from 1 species
AUUGAACGCUGGCGGCAGGCCUAACACAUGCAAGUCGAACGAGUGGCGGACGGGUGAGUAAUGUCUGGGAAACUGCUCGAUGGAGGGGGAUAACUACUGGAAACGGUAGCUAAUACCGCAUACCAUCGGAUGUGCCCAUGUGGGAUUAGCUAGUAGGUGGGGUAACGGCUCACCUAGGCGACGAUCCCUAGCUGGUCUGAGAGGAUGACCAUCCACACUGGAACUGAGACACGGUCCAGAUUCCUUCGGGAGGCAGCAGUGGGGUAUAUUGCACAAUGGGCGCAAGCCUGAUGCAGCCAUGCCGCGUGUAUGAAGAAGGCCUUCGGGUUGUAAAGUACUUUCAGCGGGGAGGCGUUACCCGCAGAAGAAGCACCGGCUAACUCCGAGCCAGCAGCCGCGGUAAUUC